AAUAUCAAAGGUGAGCCAGUACAGGAUGGACCCGCGUCUGAUUAGCUAGUUGGUAAGGUAACGGCUUACCAAGGCGACGAUCAGUAGCCGACCCGAGAGGGUGAUCGGCCACAUUGGAACUGAGACACGGUCCAAACUCCUACGGGAGGCAGCCGUGGGGAAUAUUGCACAAUGGGCGAAAGCCUGAUGCAGCAACGCCGCGUGAGUGAU
rnacentral:rRNA from 1 species